AUUUUGACAGCAGUUUCAUUGGUUAAUGGCAUUACUGUUUGAACGGAGCCUUUACCAAAUGUUUUUGUACCAAUUAUUACAGCACGAUCAUGAUCUUGUAAUGCACCUGCAACAAUUUCAGAGGCUGAAGCUGAACCGCCAUUUACUAGAACUACAAGCGGUGCGCCUUUGAUAAAGUCGUAUGGUUUGGCAUUAAAUUUUUGGUUGGAAUCUUUAACUCGACCUUCUGUAUAAACGAUUAAACCUUUGGAAAUAAAGGUGUCAGAGACUUCAACGGCAGCAUCCAAUAAUCCACCUGGAUUAUUACGUAA
rnacentral:ncRNA from 1 species